rnacentral:misc_RNA from 1 species
GAAAUGCGAUAACUAGUGUGAAUUGCAGAAUUCCGUGAAUCAUCGAGUCUUUGAACGCACAUUGCGCCCCCUGGUAUUCCGGGGGGCAUGCCUGUCCGAGCGUCAUUGCUGCCCAUCAAGCACGGCUUGUGUGUUGGGUCGUCGUCCCCUCUCCGGGGGGGACGGGCCCCAAAGGCAGCGGCGGCACCGCAUCCGAUCCUCGAGCGUAUGGGGCUUUGUCACCCGCUCUGUAGGCCCGGCCGGCGCUUGCCGAACGCAAAUCAAUCUUUUUCCAGGUUGACCUCGGAUCAGGUAGGGAUACCCGCUGAACUUAAGC